rnacentral:lncRNA from 1 species
CAUUUGUUAAUUGUAGAAGGCAACAACCCCUGUAAUGGUCUCACCAUCUCUUUCUUUCUGAAGUUUCAAACACACUCAAAGUUGUCUUGAAUGAGACUUCGUUAGUCAUAUGUGCACUAGGUUCUUGGAAGUGGGGGAACUCAUAGAGUCCAUUUUUCUUUGUGCAAGUCAUUGACUUUUUCGUUAGCAUUGUAGCCGUGUAAAAAAACUUUCGGUUCUUGAAUGAAAAAGGAAUGUAUUGAGUUGUUAUCUAAGAGGUCAAUUAACAAGAAUAUUGGUUGUCCUUUGUUCUCCAUAAUAUCAAGUUCUAUUUUAUAUAUUUUCGUGACAUUUUGUUUUUAACUCUAAGAAGUGAUGAAAGUCUAAUUGGUCCCUGUUGGCAGCCGUUUGUCCUUUGGAUCAAGGAAGAAUGGGCCGGAAAGCAGGUGGUCUGUUUCAUCAACUCAAAGAAGUUGUGGGUCUCUCCAGAAACCCUGCAUGAAGGAAUGCUACUUCCUUAAUUGUUUUGUACUUCUUAACCAAACAGUGAUUAAAAGUGUGUUUGGCCAAAAGAACUUUGAGUGCAUGCCGGUGCUCAGGUGACGUACUUGAGUAAAUUAAAAAAUUUCCUACCAUUUUUUCUACUUUUUCUUAUACGAGGCAAAUUUGUAAUAUAGUAUGAAAGCUAAUAAAUUUUGCUGUCGAUCACCAAUCCCUACUUACACCUCUCUAUUGUGCUGAACUGCUCUAUUUGCAUACUAACAAAAACAGGAAGCCUUGGGGAAGCAUUAAUUAUCAUUUGCAGAGGCUUACAAGGGAAAGAAUAAGUAGAUGGAGAUCAUUCGACUCUUGUUUGAUUCCUCAACUUAAUUUUUCAAUGUAUCGUAGUGGCAAAGUAUGGUUUUGUUUUUGAACAAAAUUAUUUAAGCGUUCGAGUCAAUUUCACAAUAAUUUGCACAUUUUACCAUUUCCGCAAGAAAUAACUCAAUAUAAGUGGUUCCCUGAUGGGCAUUUGUUCAUUCGCAGAUGAAGACUUGACCGUUGUCCUCAUAGGAAUCCCUACAUAGACCCUUUCUGCCUACGGCUAAUGCAAGGAGUUUCAUCGAUCAGUCUUAGCCAUACACCUUGAGAGUUUUUCAAUGCUUAUAUUAGGCCGAGUUUAAACGUCUUUCCUGGGCAAGGGCUUGUGGUUUAAGUUUGGCAUAAAUAAUCUCUUGUUCGAUUACCUUGUGCGUGCAAUUUCAUGGUGAAUUUUGUCAAUCAUACACUUUUUUACUACUGGCCAAUACUUGUAAAGACCCGCCGCCCGACGCCCACGUUGUCCACGCGGUAUCGAGCGGCGUUACUUACUUUGAUUUUUCCUUCGUAAAAAUUUUUUGAUACCAUCUGUAACGACGCCUGCCCUAGCUCCCCCUUGGCCCCUUCUGUAUCUCCUUCUUCCUCUUUUUCUGCUUUUUCCUUCUUCACUUUUUCUUUCACCCUUUAUUUCUUUUUUUUCCCCAACUUUUCAUGUGCGGAGCGAAACAUAUAAAUUUUAAAAAUUUUUUUUUUGAGUCAAUGAACUCACAUAUUAAAAUUCAUUCAAUUUGAAUACAUGCUCAUGACGGUAGAGAGACUGUACCUGUCUUAAACAUUCAUACAUACUUCAAUACAUUACAAUUUCAAAGCAUCGGAACUUAUAGUCCGACUAUACCGCAUAAUUCCUUGUUCUUAUUAACAUAACAUUGGUUCUAUAUUUUCUCCACUUGCUUUCCUUUAUCACCUGAAUAUUGUCAAAAACAAAUAUCCUAAGCACAUUUACUUUACAUUUAGCGUAUAACCAUAAUCUCUAACCUAGGUUUUAUCAUACAUAUCAAAACAUAAAAUACCAUGGUAGAUGCAUAUAACAUACUAGCGUGAAAAAGAUAAAACAGUUAAAAUCUUUCUCAAUAACUUGUUUCAAAUUCAGCUUGUACUUGUAUUUUGACUAUAUCCGAUCAAAUAAUUCUUAAAACUACAUUAUCACUAUGACCUCCCGUCCUUAGUCGUAUUUGAUAACGUGAAUUUCCACAACCCCCUGAGUCCGGUAAUUCCCGGCCUAGUACCUCCCGAAAGGUAGAAACAUGAUGGUACCAUUAGGCCAUUACAUACAAAAAUCUUUUCAAAACUUUUCAUCUAUUCCAUGGAUUUAAAUUUGCCAUACAUAACAUAAUUUCAUGCCUAUAUAAGAGUAUCAAAAAGUUAAUUUAUUCUACUUUAGAGAAUUUGGUUUACUUUACACUACCUUAGAGAGUAGGGUUACUUACACUACCUUAGAGAGUAGGGUUACUUACUUGGCUUGUUUGGAAAUUGUAUUAAUCUCGUUCGUUGUAUUCCUUAAGGCUAAUCGUAUCGAUUCCUUACAUUUUAUUGUUGACAUAAUUAUAAUUAUACUUCCCUUUAAUAUUUAUAAGUAAUUAAUUUAUAUUUUUCAAGUAGUAGUCUAAAACUAUAGAUAUUUUUUAUUCAAAAAUUAUUAUUUAUUAUAAAUUUUUAAAAACGUAAUGGUUUUAAAAAAAUUUCACUUUCGCAGAACUAAAAAAAUUUCAGAUUUUUCUGUUCGGAUCCAAGCCUGUUUUGAGCUAUUUAACUUGAAAUUUGAAAAUACUAUUUCACAUAAACUUGUAGGUAUUGUUAAAAUAGCUAUCUCAGAAACUUGAAUCCAACUAAAAUGUUUUUCGUAUGAAGAAGUUAUGGCUAAAAUACCGACAGUGGGUCAAAAUAAAAACAAUAACUAGCUUAAUUUUUCUACUCGUCCUUUCAAGUCCUGUUGGGUCAUUAAACUUCGAAUUUUAAAAAUUCUUAUUUCACAUAAACUUAUGAUAUUAAAAUUAAUUCUCAGAAUCUUGAAAUCAACUAAAUGUUUUCAUAUGAAGAGUUAUGGCCAAAAUACUGACAGUUGGUUCGUAUAAACAACAAUAACUUAUUUUUCUAUUCGUUAUUUCCAAUUCUGUUUUCGACCCUUUAAAUUAAAAUUGGAAAAAUUGUAUUUCACUAAAACUGUAGAUAUAUUUAAAGUAUCUUUCAUAUGAAACUUGAAAUCAAAAUCAAAACGAUAUCAUAUGAGGAAGUUAUGGCUAAAAUAUACUACUGGUCCCGGUGUAAAAAAUUUUAUUUCAUCCAUACGAAAUUUUGGUUUUUCCGAAAAAGAUUUCAAAUAUAAAACAUAUUUUGGGAUAUCUUAACAGAUUAUUUAACACUAAAACAUGAGUUAAAAAAUAAUAUUCAACAUAUCGAAUUUAGGCAAAGAAGUAGAGAAAAAAUUAGAAUUUAACCUCAAAAUUUCCUCUCUCUUCUUUCUUUUUUUUUUUUUUUUUUUCUCUCUUAGAAACUUCCUCCUCUCCUCUUUCUUCUAUUCUUUCUCCUAUUCCCAUAUACUCUCCUUCUCAUCUCACACCCAAUCACAUAUAAUAUAUAUAAAUAAAAACAUAUUAUUAAUAUUUUAUUAUUCUAUAUUAUUUAUUAUUUUAUUUUUUUAUUUCUUCUUUCCACUUCGUCGGCGGACAAACUCUCUCUUUUUUUUUUUUUUUUCUUUUCCUCUUUUUCUCAUUUCUCGUUCGGCAGUUGUUGUCUCCCACCCCAUGCAAUUACACUUUUGUCCCCUCACUUUUAUAUCUUCUUUAAUUUUAUAUCCCAAAAAUUAAAUCACUUUUUAAAUUUAAACACUCAAAUGAACGUUAACAUUAUCUACUUAAUACUUAGAAAAAAAUUUAUUACUUUUCAUAAUUAAUAUCUAUUGUACAUGUUUCAUAUUUAUUGUAUCUAUUUUACUCUAAGUUCUUAAUUACUAUUAAAAUUCGGGAUGUUACAAUACUAUUUCUGUAAUUGCUACUAAUUCCUAGACUGUUAUAUGACAAUGAUGGGUAUUGCACGUUCUGGUGAAGUGAUUAUAUUGACAAUGAAGGGGGUUAUGGCUAAGUUUAUAGCCAUGUUUGGAAGUUUUAGACAUGAAAAGUCAUAUUUUUAACCAUAAAAUGAGUUGUUUAGAUGAAAAAUACACAACAAAAAAAUAAGAAACAUUUGAGUUCUUUGAGAGAGAGACAUAUAAAGUUUAGUUAGCCAAAGCUGCUUCAGAGGUGUUCUGAAGUUAUUGGUUAUAGCCGUUUUAUUAUGGAAGGAAGACGUCGAUGACACCCUACAACACUCUUGGUAGGUGUCCCCCCCCCCCCCCCCCCCCCCCCCCCACCCCCCCCCCCCCCCCCCGCCCCCCCCCCCCCCCCCGAAAUUUUUCUUAAAGACUCGGCAUAAUCUUAUUUGUAUCUCUUAUUUCAGUUACUGUAAUUUCAAUUCUGUAAUUUUUUUAUAUAAAAUUUUAGAUUAUUGUUUAUGAAUGAAAUUAUUCUUUGAAAUUCUGUGUUUGCCGAAUUAAUUUUACCAGUAUAUUAUAAUCAAAUAAGAGCAUUAACUGCUUUUAUUGGAGAAAAGGAAAUUGGAAGUGGAAGAAUAGCGAGAGAUAAAGAAGUGAGAUUAUGAUUUGAAAAAAAAGAAAAUAGAUAAGUGUGCUUUAAAAAAGUACACGUGGCACAUUAGGUCAUGUUUGACUUUAAGUUUAUUUGUCGCUACAUUUAGAGGUUAAAAUCUAGUUAUAGCAGCCUAAAUAAUAUACCGUAUGUUGUAGCUAAUAAAUUUUGGAAUGCCAUGCUACCCAAAACCAUUGAAAAAUGAAGAAGAAAUAAUAACAACCUAAAUAGCAAACCAUUGGAGCUACUGAUGAUAAUCUAAAUACCUCAAAUGAGAUUUAAAAAAAAAAACUAAAUAACAACCUAAACAAGCAAAAAAAAUUUAGCAAUUUUGAGUCAAAAUAGAUGAGACUUUCGAACAUCUUUUUGAUGAAACGAAGUGAUUAAUGUGUUCUUCUUUAUCGAAAUUGAAAUAAUUUUAGAAAUUGAAUCUGUAUCAAAAUAGAAUUUUGUUUUAGAAAACAUAUUUACAAUCUAUUUUGAAAAUUAUAAUAUAAAACAGAUUUGAAAUCUGUUUCACAAUAUGUUCUCAAAAAAAAUGCU